UACGAAGGGGGCGAGCGUUGUUCGGAUUUACUGGGCGUAAAGGGCGCGUAGGCGGCCAACCAAGUCAGGCGUGAAAGCCCCGGGCUCAACCUGGGAGGUGCGCUUGGGACUGGCUGGCUGGAGUUCGGGAGAGGAGCGUGGAAUUCCCAGUGUAGAGGUGAAAUUCGUAGAUAUUGGGAAGAACACCGGUGGCGAAGGCGGCGCUCUGGACCGAUACUGACGCUGAGGCGCGAAAGCGUGGGGAGCAAACAGG
rnacentral:rRNA from 1 species